CACGUGAGAAUUUGCCUUUAGGAGGGGGAUAACAGAGUGAAACGACUGCUAAUACCCCACUAUGCUUUCGAGUGAAAUGGAUUUAUUCGCCUAAAGAGAAGCUCGCGGCUGAUUAGCUUGUUGGUAAGGUAAUGGCUUACCAAGGCGACGAUCAGUAUCUGGUUUGAGAGGACGAUCAGACACACUGGAACUGAGACACGGUCCAGACUCCUACGGGAGGCAGCAGUGGGGAAUUUUCUGCAAUGGGCGAAAGCCUGACAGAGCAAUACCGCGUGAGGGAAGAAAGCCCACAGGGUUGUA
rnacentral:rRNA from 1 species